GUAAUAGUAUGGAGGAGGUGGUGACUUCACGGGUGGAGGUGGAGAGGGGUAGUAGUAUGGGGGAGGGGGUGAUUUCACUGGUGGAGGUGGAGAAUGGUAAUAGUAUGGAGGAGGUGGUGACUUCACGGGUGGAGGUGGAGAGUGAUAGUAGUAUGGGGGAGGAGGAGACUUCACUGGUGGGGGUGGUGAGUGAUAGUAAUAUGGAGGAGGGGGUGAUUUUACCGGUGGAGGUGGAGAGUGGUAGUAGUAUGGAGGAGGAGGAGACUUCACGGGUGGAGGUGGAGAGUGGUAGUAGUACGGAGGAGGGGGAGACUUCACCGGUGGAGGUGGAGAGUGGUAGUAGUACGGAGGAGGAGGUGACUUCACGGGUGGAGGUGGAGAGUGAUAAUAGUACGGAGGAGGAGGUGACUUCACUGGUGGUGGUGGAGAGUGAUAAUAGUAUGGGGGAGGAGGUGACUUCACUGGUGGUGGUGGAGAGUGAUAGUAAUAUGGGGGAGGAGGUGAUUUCACUGGUGGAGGUGGAGAAUGGUAAUAGUAUGGAGGAGGUGGUGACUUUACUGGUGGUGGUGGAGAAGUGUAGUAGUAAGGAGCAGGUGUGGGCUCGGGUUUAGGCUUCUUACACUCCUCGUAAGGAGUUUUAGGAGCAUAAGCAAAUGGCUUAGCUUGAAGAACAACUUCAUACUUUGUCUUGGACUUAACCUUAAGCUCGGCACCCUUAUCACCCAUGUGUAGGUCAGUUGGG
rnacentral:lncRNA from 1 species